UUUAACUCCUUUCACCCUUUGUUAGUCAAACUAGUAACAAAUUAUUCGAUAGACUUAUUAUCGUAGAAUUGUAGUUAAAUCAAAUAUUUCAUAAAUUACAUCUUACCAGAUAUCACAGAAAAUAGAAUACAUCUAAAAUUUUAAAUCCAGUCCUAGACUCCUAGUCCAUCCCAAUUUUUUUUAAAUUUCGAACCCAUCUUUUAUAUACAACACAAUCUUUAUGCUCUAAUUAAUUUAGAAUUGAGAAAAAUAUAUAUUUGAAAUUUUAUGUUUUGUGAAAUGUAUUCGUCACCCAAAUCAUGUAUGGCAAACAGUGUUGUAAAAAGCGG
rnacentral:lncRNA from 1 species